rnacentral:rRNA from 1 species
UGGGGAAUUUUGGACAAUGGGGGCAACCCUGAUCCAGCAAUGCCGCGUGUGUGAAGAAGGCCUUCGGGUUGUAAAGCACUUUUGUCCGGGAAGAAAUCGCACCUGAUAAUACCGGGUGUGGAUGACGGUACCGGAAGAAUAAGGACCGGCUAACUACGUGCCAGCAGCCGCGGUAAUACGUAGGGUCCAAGCGUUAAUCGGAAUUACUGGCGUAAAGCGUGCGCAGGCGGUUGUGCAAGACCGAUGUGAAAUCCCCGGGCUUAACCUGGGAAUUGCAUUGGUGACUGCACGGCUAGAGUGUGUCAGAGGGGGGUAGAAUUCCACGUGUAGCAGUGAAAUGCGUAGAGAUGUGGAGGAAUACCGAUGGCGAAGGCAGCCCCCUGGGAUAACACUGACGCUCAUGCACGAAAGCGUGGGGAGCAAACAGG